CUAAUUAUAAUAUUUAUUUUAUAACACUUUACUAAUAUUUAGAAGCAGCAGUUUGAGAGUACGAACACUGUAUCAUAAAAUAGUACCAAAGGCAACAUGUGCACUAAAUUUUAGCCCUCUUUAGACCAAUUUCAUUGGCUAUUCAACACAUGUAGGACACUUAAUAUCCACGUAAAGCACAUCAUUUGGCUCUAAGUUGUCUUCAAAAGUGGAAUAAGACAUAGUUUCUCUUCAAUUUCUUUCUUCUCAGCCUUGACUCUCCAUCUCUUUAUUCUUUAAAGAUUUCAAUUGAACGCGAAGAGAUUAAUUGAUUGGGGCAACGGCGAGUUCUCCUAUUAUGGAUAAGAAAAAGGGGGACAUGUGGUAUUUUGAAACGCUCAGAGUGUGAUUCUGGGUUGUGUUUGAAUGAAGGUAUUGCUCUACAUUGUGAAUGAUUUAGGAGUGGGUAGAGACAGAUUUUUCAUUUAAUUUAUGAGUGUCCUUGAAUGAAUUAUACUUAAAAUGUGGGAAUUUCAACUCAGCGUGUGAUGUGUUUGAUGAUAUCCCUCAGCCACCUUAGUUGAAGUUUCCUGUUGUGAUUUUCCUUUUCGGGCUACAUGUUCAUGGUACCUUUACUAUGAAAGGACCUGAAAAUAAAUAUUUCUGUAAGUAUACAAUAUUGUGUUAUUUCGAUGUGGCAAGUAAUCUUUGAAUCGUUGCAAGAAACUGGUUGAAUCCAUGGCGCCUUUCUUACUAGGUAUCAACAACUUUUUCCAUUUAUUUUAGUGAGCUUUUUCUUGGUUGUCUGCUUUUGGGAUAGUUUCCACGAUUGAAAUAUAAAGAAAGAGACAAAAUCAAAUAUGCAUAAAUCAGAUCAUAUAAAAACACCCUCGUAGAAAAUAAAUUACCCACAAAUAUUGAACUAUGCUGAAGAAUAUAGCAGCAAAGCAAAUACGACUUUAGAUGCAGACUGAAUAUUCUAAAUGAGUCAUCAUUAAAAUAUAAUAAUAAAAAAUUACAUCGACCCAAGCAGAUUAUUUGUCUGACCUUUUGUUUGUCAUUGUGUCUAUCUGCAGUCAAUUAUUAGUCUUUUUUGGUCGUCUGUUGAUUAAAUUUGUGCUUGCAUGUUAAUCAUUUCUCCUAAUUUUGCAAUCGUCCUUUUAUUCUCAAAAAAUUUAUUUUUUUACCAGAAUAUCAUAGCACUAAAAGGCAACAUCAAUCAAAUAAUAACUGACACACCAAAUUGGAUAUGCAUGGUCCAAAUUAUCAUAGGUCAAGAACGAGAGAGUCCUGAGAAAAAAGUUAGAUUUCAAAAUUUGAUUUUCGAGGAUGAAGAAGUAAUUAUGUCUACAGUAGCAUCAUAAAUUCAACUUUCUACAAUUAUAAUCUACUGCAUUUAUAACAAAAGUUGACACUUUACAGGAGCAACAAAUUCGGAAAAUUGUGUAUGGCGAUGUCAUUCCAUAUUAUGCUGACAAGCUUAACUCUUCCAGCCAUAUCUAAUAUCUGCUACAAAAGUUAAAGUUACAUCAACUUUAUACGGUCCACCAAUAUGCAAACUUUAUUGGGUGCUUGAUCGCGAGACUAUAGUGGAACAUAUAGAGCCAAAUAAUGAGAGUGAGAAAGCACUACUACCACCAACGAAGUUGAAUAUCACUUCUUUCAACCACAUUGCUCAUACGACUCCACAUACUGCUACAGAAAUUGGUUAUUUACUGUUACCUUGAUGAAAUAUUUGGCUUCUAUGGAAUAAAUAUAUACCCCUCAUUAUAUUUC